GUAUUACUCCCUCCGUUCCAAAUUACUCGUCAUAGAAAUGGAUGUAUCUAGAACUAAAAUACAUCUAGAUACAUCCAUAUUUGCGACAAGUAAUUCGGAACGGAGGAAGUAUUUG
rnacentral:pre_miRNA from 1 species